rnacentral:rRNA from 1 species
CGUCAGGGAUGACGGCCUUCGGGUUGUAAACCUCUUUCAGUAGGGAAGAAGGCCUUCGGGUUGACGGUACCUGCAGAAGAAGCGCCGGCUAACUACGUGCCAGCAGCCGCGGUAAUACGUAGGGCGCAGGCGUUGUCCGGAAUUAUUGGGCGUAAAGAGCUCGUAGGCGGUUUGUCGCGUCUGCUGUGAAAACGCGAGGCUUAACCUCGCGCCUGCAGUGGGUACGGGCAGACUAGAGUGCGGUAGGGGAGACUGGAAUUCCUGGUGUAGCGGUGGAAUGCGCAGAUAUCAGGAGAAACACCGGUGGUGAGGGCGGGUCUCUGGGCCGUUACUGACGCUGAGGAGCGAAAGCAUGGGGAGCGAACAGGAUUAGAUACCCUGGUAGUCCAUGCCGUAAACGUUGGGCACUAGGUGUGGGACCCAUUCCACGGGUUCCGUGCCGCAGCUAACGCAUUAAGUGCCCCGCCUGGGGAGUACGGCCGCAAGGCUAAAACUCAAAGGAAUUGACGGGGGCCCGCACAAGCGGCGGAGCAUGCGGAUUAAUUCGAUGCAACGCGAAGAACCUUACCAAGGCUUGACAUACACCGGAAACAUCCAGAGAUGGGUGCCCCGCAAGGUCGGUGUACGGGUGGUGCAUGGUUGUCGUCAGCUCGUGUCGUGAGAUGUUGGGUUAAGUCCCGCAACGAGCGCAACCCUUGUCCUGUGUUGCCAGCGGGUUAUGCCGGGGACUCAUGGGAGACUGCCGGGGUCAACUCGGAGGAAGGUGGGGAUGACGUCAAAUCAUCAUGCCCCUUAUGUCUUGGGCUUCACGCAUGCUACAAUGGCCGGUACAAAGGGUUGCGAUGCCGCGAGGUGGAGCGAAUCCCAAAAAGCCGGUCUCAGUUCGGAUUGGGGUCUGCAACUCGACCCCAUGAAGUCGGAGUCGCUAGUAAUCGCAGAUCAGCAACGCUGCGGUGAAUACGUUCUCGGGCCUUGUACACACCGCCCGUCACGUCACGAAAGUCGGUAACACCCGAAGCCGGUGGCCCAACCUCUUGUAGGGGGGAGCCGUCGAAGGUGGGACUGGCGAUUGGGACG